GAGAGAUGGGUGUGUUGGAGGGUACAUAGAUACUGACUAUAGGUUGGAGCAGUGGGAGAGAUGGGUGUGUUGGAGGGUACAUAGAUACUGACUAUAGGUUGGAGCAGUGGGAGAGAUGGGUGUGUUGGAGGGUACAUAGAUACUGACUAUAGGUUGGAGCAGUGGGAGAGAUGGGUGUGUUGGAGGGUACAUAGAUACUGACUAUAGGUUGGAGCAG